ensembl:lincRNA Gm829 predicted gene 829
GGGAGUCUUGUCCUAACAGGGCAGGUCAUAUUGUCUCGUUUUUACUUUUAAUGGAGGAAUAAAUUUUAUAAUUGAGAGCCGUGCUAAACUCUCCACCAGUGGAGCUACAUCCCCAGUGCCUAGGUCAAUUUUUUUUCCAGGAAAUAAUGGAUGUGACAUGACUUUGGAAGACAAUUUACAGUGUGAGGAGCAUGGACUCCUGAGUGGUGAAGAACUGGGUGAGCCUAUGGGACAUGCCUCACAAACCCUUCCAUAUCCAGCUCUACCCUAUGUGCUCUCAAGAGCCUUCCGGACUCCCAGAGGUGGAAGGUUCGAAUGGAGAGCAAAGCUGAGGCCGUGGAGCUGUGAUGUGUGACGGUCCACAGUAGCUACCGGAGGAGGAUGCACGACCACCAUGCCUGUCUCAAGGUGUCCCUCAAGCCUGCCUGAUCAUCAGCACAGGGGCCUAGCAGGCCUAUCAACACCCUAGAAAUGAUCUGUCAUAUCCCCACUCCAAUCGGAUCAUUUGCAGCCCAUCAUGAGUGAGAUGUCAGACUCAGAGGCCAGGGAGCAUCCAGACUCCUAGGGCGUUCACAGCCACCGCAUCUUACUUCUGAAUUUGCAACGAGGGGACUAAGCCUCAGAGAGGUCAAAGUGGCUAGACAAUGACAUGGAAGGACCAAGACAAGAACCCAGGAUGGGCUUCUCCCGCCUGCCUCUCCAGGGC